GAAAAUGUUCCAUUUUAAUUCAUUAUUCCAGUAUUCCACUAAUAUCGUUUAACUGUUCACCUGGAAUCAAGAUUUCUGAACUUAGAAAAAGAUGUAUGGCAAUUAUUUGUCCUUCUUAGAAUGAUCUUCACAAUCGUUGAUGCCAAAGAGCCGAAAAAAACUGUUGAUCAGAUUAUUUAUGUUUUUUUGUUAAUCACAUCGAUGAUUUUGUCAAUGGGCAUAUUCGAGUUUGAAACCAAUGCUUUCCAAAGGAAUGAGGAACUAUAUGUUAAUUAAACUAUAUGUAAUUGUAUUUGUUAUUGAUAUUUAUCAGCGUCAUUCAACGUCGCCUUAGUGUCGUCAUUUCAACGUUGCCUAAUCCAAAUUUAUUGUCAAAUUUAUAAAGUACUCUCAUUUUUGUUUCCUCCUUGGGUCUUAAAAUUUAUGGGAAAUAUAUGUACAUGAGAAAGUAUAC